UACGUAGGGGGCAAGCGUUGUCCGGAAUUAUUGGGCGUAAAGAGCGUGUAGGCGGCCCGAUAAGUCCGCUGUGAAAUCUCGAGGCUCAACUUCGAGCUGUCGGUGGAAACUGUCUGGCUAGAGUCCGGAAGAGGAGAAUGGAAUUCCUGGUGUAGCGGUGAAAUGCGCAGAUAUCAGGAAGAACACCCGUGGCGAAGGCGGUUCUCUGGGACGGUACUGGCGCUGAGACGCGAAAGCGUGGGGAGCGAACAGG
rnacentral:rRNA from 1 species